CCAGCAGGGACACCUGGAGAGAUUGCGGUCUCUUCAGCUCUGUCCGUGUGGCGUAUGGGAGUGUAGGCCUCCAGGCUCCGUGACAUAUGGUCCCCUUCCACGCUGCUGGAGAGCAAGUUGGACCUCCGUGGUCUGCAGCCUGCAUAUUCCUACUGCUCCUCUGAGUCUCUGGACUGUGACAGAGGAGAUAAACCAUGCAGGAGACAAUU
ensembl:snoRNA SNORA73 Small nucleolar RNA SNORA73 family